rnacentral:rRNA from 1 species
GACGAACGCUGACGGCGUGCUUAACACAUGCAAGUCGAAGGGAGUGGCGAACGGGUGAGUAACACGUGAGUAACCUGCCCUUUUCUUUGGGAUAAGCCUGGGACACGGGGUCUAAUACUGGAUGGAUUGGGUUGGGCUCGCGGCUUAUCAGCUUGUUGGUGGGGUGAUGGCUUACCAAGGCUUUGACGGGUAGCCGGCCUGAGAGGGUGGCCGUUGACACUGAGACUGAGAUAAUGCCCAGAAUCGUCAGGGGGGCAGAAGUGAGGGAUAUUGCGCAAAGGGCUAAAGUCCGAUGCAGCGACGUCGAGAGGGGGAUGGCGGCCUUCGCGUUGUAUACUCGUUACGGCCGCAGAAUAGUAGUAGGUAAAGAAGCGCCAGCUAACUACGUGCCAGCAGCCGCGGUAAUAC